GCCCCCAUCGUCCAGCGGCCUAGGACGCCUCCCUUUCAAGGAGGUAACACGGGUUCGAAUCCCGUUGGGGGUGCCA
rnacentral:tRNA from 1 species